CCUACGGGAGGCAGCAGUGAGGAAUAUUGGUCAAUGGACGAGAGUCUGAACCAGCCAAGUAGCGUGAAGGAUGACUGCCCUAUGGGUUGUAAACUUCUUUUAUAUGGGAAUAAAACGUUCCACGUGUGGGAUUUUGUAUGUACCAUAUGAAUAAGGAUCGGCUAACUCCGUGCCAGCAGCCGCGGUAAUACGGAGGAUCCGAGCGUUAUCCGGAUUUCAAAAAAACACAAGCAAC
rnacentral:rRNA from 1 species